rnacentral:rRNA from 1 species
GGGGAAUAUUGCUCAAUGGGCGCAAGCCUGACGCAGCAACGCCGCGUGGAGGAUGAAGGCCCUUGGGUUGUAAACUCCUGUCGGCUGGGAAGAAAUCUUCCGGGGUUAAUACCUCCGGGAGUUGACUGUACCAGCAAAGGAAGCCCCGGCUAACUCUGUGCCAGCAGCCGCGGUAAUACGAAGGGUGCAAACGUUGCUCGGAAUCAUUGGGCGUAAAGCGCACGUAGGCGGCGUUCUAAGUCGGAUGUGAAAUCCCUCGGCUCAACCGAGGACGUGCAUCCGAAACUGGAAUGCUCGAGUAUGGAAGAGGGUCGCGGAAUUCUCGGUGUAGAGGUGAAAUUCGUAGAUAUCGGGAGGAACACCAGUGGCGAAGGCGGCGACCUGGGCCAAUACUGACGCUGAGGUGCGAAAGCGUGGGGAGCAAAC